rnacentral:rRNA from 1 species
CUAUACGGUGAAACUGCGAAUGGCUCAUUAAAUCAGUUAUCGUUUAUUUGAUAGUACCUUACUACAUGGAUAACCGUGGUAAUUCUAGAGCUAAUACAUGCUAAAAACCCCGACUUCGGAAGGGGUGUAUUUAUUAGAUAAAAAACCAAUGCCCUUCGGGGCUCUCUGGUGAUUCAUAAUAACUCAACGAAUCGCAUGGCCUUGCGCCGGCGAUGGUUCAUUCAAAUUUCUGCCCUAUCAACUUUCGAUUGUAGGAUAGAGGCCUACAAUGGUAUCAACGGGUAACGGGGAAUUAGGGUUCGAUUCCGGAGAGGGAGCCUGAGAAACGGCUACCACAUCCAAGGAAGGCAGCAGGCGCGCAAAUUACCCAAUCCCGACACGGGGAGGUAGUGACAAUAAAUACUGAUACAGGGCUCUUUUGGGUCUUGUAAUUGGAAUGAGUACAAUCUAAAUCCCUUAACGAGGAACAAUUGGAGGGCAAGUCUGGUGCCAGCAGCCGCGGUAAUUCCAGCUCCAAUAGCGUAUAUUAAAGUUGUUGCAGUUAAAAAGCUCGUAGUUGAACCUUGGGCCUGGCUGGCCGGUCCGCCUCACCGCGUGCACUGGUUCGGCCGGGCCUUUCCUUCUGGGGAACCGCAUGCCCUUCACUGGGCGUGCCGGGGAACCAGGACUUUUACUUUGAAAAAAUUAGAGUGUUCAAAGCAGGCCUUCGCUCGAAUACAUUAGCAUGGAAUAAUAGAAUAGGACGUGCGGUUCUAUUUUGUUGGUUUCUAGGACCGCCGUAAUGAUUAAUAGGGAUAGUCGGGGCCAUCCGUAUUCAAUUGUCAGAGGUGAAAUUCUUGGAUUUAUUGAAGACGAACUACUGCGAAAGCAUUUGGCAAGGAUGUUUUCAUUAAUCAGUGAACGAAAGUUAGGGGAUCGAAGACGAUCAGAUACCGUCGUAGUCUUAACCAUAAACUAUGCCGACUAGGGAUCGGACGGUGUUAUUAUUUUGACCCGUUCGGCACCUUACGAGAAAUCAAAGUCUUUGGGUUCUGGG